UACGUAGGGUGCAAGCGUUGUCCGGAAUUAUUGGGCGUAAAGAGCUCGUAGGCGGUUCGUCGCGUCGGCUGUGAAAUCCCGAGGCUCAACCUCGGGUCUGCAGUCGAUACGGGCGGACUGGAGUUCGGCAGGGGAGACUGGAAUUCCUGGCGUAGCGGUGAAAUGCGCAGAUAUCAGGAGGAACACCGGUGGCGAAGGCGGGGUCUCUGGGCCGAUACUGACGCUGAGAAGCGAAAGCAUGGGGGAGCGAACAG
rnacentral:rRNA from 1 species